rnacentral:lncRNA from 1 species
GGGAAAUUACUUGUGCAUAGGUAUACUGGAGAUCGUAGCGGCACAGGUAGUUUAGUUAAACAUAUAAAAUUACACCCUAGCGAUAAGGCUAGAUAUAUCUAAUUGAAAGCGCAACAAGAGGGGAGGACAAGUCCUGAUUCUACUGUUAACCCAAGUACUAGUUCAAAUCUAAACCAGGAAUAAACACAGUCACCGGAGGUAUAUUGUAUUACGAUCCAAAUAAGGAUCGUGAAGNNN